GUUAGUACAGUCGGUAACUUAGUAGAAAUACCAAAUAGAAACGCUUUAAAGGAGCAGCAGAUUAUAUAUAAACCGAGAAUGAUUACUAAUAGACUACACACUAAGCUAGUCUAGCAAUAUCUUUGUUGGGUACGAGCGUGAGUGUAUUUGAUGACUAUUUCACUGCGUGAAAAUUUAAGAAAAAUUGCUUUUGAAAAAUAUUAAUAAAUUAACUAUUCGGAACUAAAAUGUACAAUUAACGGUUUUAGAUAUUAUAAAGUUUCGAUAUCAAUAAUUGGUCAUAGGUACUAAAGCAACGAUGAACUAACUUAACAAUAAUUUCAGUAUCAUGAAUAGUUUUUCUUGGCUUUAGAUCUUGUGAUGCGUUCAUUAAAGGGAAGCGAAUUUUUGGUAUAUGGUUGCUUGGUGCCAUUUUUUUUAGUUACACUGUUUGGUAAAGCAUGAUUGCUUUGUCCUGUAACAUCUUCUGAAUGGAAGUUAUGCAUUCCGUUAGCACGUCCAGACAUCUUAGGAAUUUCAAUUGUCGAAAACUGAGCAACCUGAUUUUGGAACAUAGAAAUGGGAAAUUUCCCUAUUUUUUCAUUCAAAUCUAAACCCUCAAUAAAAUCAUGUAAGGACUUAAGAUUUCCCUGUGAAGGAAUAUCCAGUUGACUCAUUUCAAGCUCGUUUAAACCGGGCCAGUUAUCAUACUCAAGUCCGUUAAUACCGAGAGAGGGUACUUUGAGAUUCCCUCUUUCAUCAAGACUCAAACUUUCAAAGUAUAUUUUUGCCUUAAUAAAUAGUUUUUUCACUUCUCCUUCUGUUUUUUGUGCAAACUGAACCAUGGCAGUUAAUUGUUCCAUAUCAUCAAUACACUGUAUUACACCAUCAACAUCCCAAAUAGGCUCAAGUUUCUUUUCUAGAGAGCUAAUACUGCCGAUCUGAUAACUGAAUACUUGUCUUUUUAAUUCAACCCACCCAAUCCAUCCAUUAUCGAGCGGCAUAUUGAAAAGACCAUCGACAUCGAGAUCUAUAAUUUUAACAAGGGUAUCCUGUAAUAACCGUUGAGCAGGAAAAUAGUUUAAAUUCAAAAAUUUUUUUCUUAAGUUUGAUAAUUGACAUUUUAAUAAUUGCCGUUUAGCAGUAGAUUCUACAAGAGUAAGCAAUGAUUGAUAUUGAUCUUGUAGAGCCUUCGCUACUUCUAAAGACCUAACGCGAUCUUUAGAAGCCCUCACCGGGAGAUUUUCAAGACUAUCCAUAAGGAGUUGCGAUUUAAGCAAUGGCGCAUCCUUUCGGGAUCGGCGUUUCAUGUGAUAAAAUUUGCAGAUGUCAGUUACUAUGGAGGGCAGAUCUUGCCUUUUAACAUUAUAAGACAAUAAAACUUUGGUAACUUUAUCAACAAUAAAAGCCGGUAAUGG